UACGUAGGGUGCGAGCGUUGUCCGGAAUUAUUGGGCGUAAAGAGCUCGUAGGCGGCCUGUCGCGUCGGAUGUGAAAGCCCGGGGCUUAACCCCGGGUCUGCAUUCGAUACGGGCAGGCUAGAGUUCGGUAGGGGAGAUCGGAAUUCCUGGUGUAGCGGUGAAAUGCGCAGAUAUCAGGAGGAACACCGGUGGCGAAGGCGGCUCACUGGACCGGAACUGACGCUGAGGCGCGAAAGCGUGGGGAGCAAACGGG
rnacentral:rRNA from 1 species